GACGAGGCACUACGGUGCUGAAGCAACAAAUGCCCUGCUUCCAGGAAAAGCCUCUAAGCAUCAGGUAACAUCAAAUCGUACCCCAAACCGACACAGGUGGUCAGGUAGAGAAUACCAAGGCGCUUGAGAGAACUCGGGUGAAGGAACUAGGCAAAAUGGUGCCGUAACUUCGGGAGAAGGCACGCUGACACGUAGGUGAAGUGAUUUACUCAUGGAGCUGAAGUCAGUCGAAGAUACCAGCUGGCUGCAACUGUUUAUUAAAAACACAGCACUGUGCAAACACGAAAGUGGACGUAUACGGUGUGACGCCUGCCCGGUGCCGGAAGGUUAAUUGAUGGGGUCAGCGCAAGCGAAGCUCCUGAUCGAAGCCCCGGUAAACGGCGGCCGUAACUAUAACGGUCCUAAGGUAGCGAAAUUCCUUGUCGGGUAAGUUCCGACCUGCACGAAUGGCGUAAUGAUGGCCAGGCUGUCUCCACCCGAGACUCAGUGAAAUUGAACUCGCUGUGAAGAUGCAGUGUACCCGCGGCAAGACGGAAAGACCCCGUGAACCUUUACUAUAGCUUGACACUGAACAUUGAGCCUUGAUGUGUAGGAUAGGUGGGAGGCUUUGAAGUGUGGACGCCAGUCUGCAUGGAGCCGACCUUGAAAUACCACCCUUUAAUGUUUGAUGUUCUAACGUGGACCCGUUACCCGGGUUGCGGACAGUGUCUGGUGGGUAGUUUGACUGGGGCGGUCUCCUCCUAAAGAGUAACGGAGGAGCACGAAGGUUGGCUAAUCCUGGUCGGACAUCAGGAGGUUAGUGCAAUGGCAUAAGCCAGCUUGACUGCGAGCGUGACGGCGCGAGCAGGUGCGAAAGCAGGUCAUAGUGAUCCGGUGGUUCUGAAUGGAAGGGCCAUCGCUCAACGGAUAAAAGGUACUCCGGGGAUAACAGGCUGAUACCGCCCAAGAGUUCAUAUCGACGGCGGUGUUUGGCACCUCGAUGUCGGCUCAUCACAUCCUGGGGCUGAAGUAGGUCCCAAGGGUAUGGCUGUUCGCCAUUUAAAGUGGUACGCGAGCUGGGUUUAGAACGUCGUGAGACAGUUCGGUCCCUAUCUGCCGUGGGCGCUGGAGAACUGAGGGGGGCUGCUCCUAGUACGAGAGGACCGGAGUGGACGCAUCACUGGUGUUCGGGUUGUCAUGCCAAUGGCACUGCCCGGUAGCUAAAUGCGGAAGAGAUAAGUGCUGAAAGCAUCUAAGCACGAAACUUGCCCCGAGAUGAGUUCUCCCUGAGACUUUAGGUCUCCUGAAGGAACGUUGAAGACGACGACGUUGAUAGGCCGGGUGUGUAAGCGCAGCGAUGCGUUGAGCUAACCGGUACUAAUGAACCGUGAGGCUUAACCUU
rnacentral:rRNA from 1 species